rnacentral:lncRNA from 1 species
CAAGGGGCCCUGAUCGUCUGCAUUGAGGGUUGGGGGUGGGACUGGGGGCUUGAGUGGCAGGGGUGGGGUAGGAGAGGACAAGGUAAGAGCGAGGAUUACAGCUAGAGUGGAGGUGGGGAGGGGAGUGUGAUGUAGAAAGUGUGUGUAGGGUUUUUUGGUUGGCAGGAACAGUGGUGCUAACUCUUUCCAUGACUAGAAGAUAGGGCUAGGGAGGUGGCCCAGUCGGUAUAGCAUUUGUAAUACAAACAUGAGGACCUGAGUUUGCAUGCCCAGUCCCCAUGAAGGUAGGCAUGUCAGUAUGCCCUGUAACACUCUCCCUAUCCCCCACAUAAACAGGGGCACACUUCCCCACUCUGUGGAGAUACAGAAGGGUGGGUGGGGCUUGCAGCCAGCCAGCCCAGCCAAUCAAGGAGCUCCAGGUUCAGUGAUUGAGAAUGUUGACCUUUGUCCCUCCCCAGGCAUGCAGAUGCACACACACACACACACACACACACACACAUGCACAUGCACACUACAUAUCCCUGUCCACAAUUAUUAUGUGAACAUACUGUUUGCCUUUGUCUGGAACUGUUCUGCUUUAAGCUUUAAACUGGAGUAAUGAUUAAUAAUAUCUUUUCCUUCCAAAAAGUCCUGUUUUGGGAGGUUUUUAAACAUCUGAAAAUUUUUUUUUUUGGUUCUUUUUUUCAGAGCUGGGGACCGAACCCAGGGCCUUGCGCUUCCUAG